CUUAAAAGAAGCUCCGAAGGGAACAGAAUUAUAAACGUUUUUCUCUGUCAGACAAACAUUGACAGAAAGUUUAAUCAUCAGAUUGUUAGUUUCUUGACUGAGAAUCUAGACAAGGAAGCUGCCAUCAUGUGUCCAUCUUGUGUCCAUCCACACCCCAGCCAAGCAGACAUGGGACUAAUGAGUGAAGACAUGGAGUGCUGCGUCUGCCUCCAGUCCUACUCACGCAGGGACAAGAUCCCUCGGAUGCUCCACUGCAAGCACACCUUCUGCGGGCAGUGUCUCCAGGCGAUAUCCAGGCUCCAGAGCGGCCUGAUGAUGGUAUGCUGCCCACUGUGUCGCUGGAUCACAUGUACCAGGGCCAGUCUCCCCGUCGCUGGAUCCCUGUGGAUAAACACCGACAUCUGGGACAGGAUAACAGAAAGAACAGAGGAGGAGGAGCAUGAGGAGGAAGCGGAGUUGAUGAGAGCGAAUAAACAAACACAGACCUCUACCCAGAAUGAAUGCUCAUCUUCUGGUCAUUGUGGCCUAAGGAUCAAACUAAAGAGUUUCUUGAGAAGAAGGCCCAAGGGAGGUAAACUAAGAAGAUGAAAAGAAGACACAGAGAACACAGCGUGAAGACCAAGAAAAGUCUUCUUGAAGACUAGAGAAGGGGAUGAUCAGAGAUCAAGAAUAGGCCAAACUUCAAGAUGCAGUCAAGGACUUUUUUUAUAACCUCCCAUGUUGGGUCACAAUAAUACCUUUUGUGAAGAAAUUAAUAAAUGUAAAUAAAUGUUUUAAGCAGGUGAUAAUGCCUUAGGCUUUACAAUCAAUCGAUUUGUAUUGUUUAUUUAUUUAUUUGCUAACAAUUUCAAACUGUGAACAAUUUAUUGAGUACAAUGACUGAUGUUGAAUUUGUACUGCACUGUGUGAUUUUACUAUGAUGUUUACCAGGUCAUGUGUUAACUGAAGUAGAAUUUGUUUAUAUUAAUGUUGUGCCUUUUUUUCAGGGAAUGAUUUAUACAUAACCUGUAUUUACU
ensembl:lncRNA